AGUUUUAAAAAAAAAAAGUUAUAUCACUAUCUCUUAAAGUAUCUGAAAUCUAGGUUUCCUUAUGUAUAGGCGGAAGAAUAUCUGGCGGGUAUAACAAUGCACGUUUUUGAGGCACAAUGACAUUUAUACGGUCGCCAGACGAUUCCAUUGCUCUCGACAAUCAAUAUAUUGAAGCAUUGAACAUUUAUGGAAAUAAAUGUGUUGCAAGAAGCUAUUAUGUAUGAAUUUAAAUAAUUUAAA